rnacentral:ncRNA from 15 species
CACGACACAACAUGUGGGGGUGCUCCCUGAGCCCGGCACAAGAUGUAUGCUCAUGCUCGCUGUCGUCGCAGGGGAAUCCGGUGCGAAUCCGGAACUGUCCCGCAACGGUGUACUUGUGCGUGUUCGUGUAUUGGACGUGCCCGCACACGUCUCAGUCCGAGGACCUGCCGACAGCGCACCCCGGCCA